GGCUGCAUACGAUAAAGUUUUAAAAGCCAGGAAAGCAGCUCAAGUCAGGCAUAGAGAAUUGGACAGCAAAAGAAAGAAGUUAAAGGAAGAUUUAGAAGCAAGGGAAAAGUCUUCUCAAGAAUUUAGGGAUAUAGACGCAGCACAGAAACUUCAAAAAGAGAUUGAAAGACUGCGAAGAGAAGGUUCAAGACAAUUGGAAAAAGAACAAGAACUUCUUCGACAACAAAUAGAAAAAGAAAAAGAUGAAUGGAUUUGGAAAUACUAAAGUUGUCAAGUUACUAACAUUUGAUGAAAAUGAAAUAGGAAGUCAUCUUCCUACCAUUGGAACUUGAUAAUAAAAGUACUAACAUUCGAUGGAAAUGAAACAGAAAUUCAACUUUCUUCCUAUUCUUGUGAAAGGUAGAUUGUGUAUCUGGUGGAACAGUCGUGAGGUCUAAAUAAAUCAGAAAGUGAUGGUGCACCAAGACUUAAGGU